UAUCAUCUCAGCUCUGGUUUC
rnacentral:siRNA from 1 species